rnacentral:lncRNA from 1 species
GAGAAGUAAUUGUCAAAUGAGACACUGGCGAAUAUUGAUGCCAAGAGCCUAGAACCCUGGCAUCCUGGUCCCCAGCUGCAUCCCCCCCAGCCCCCAGCAGGGGUGGCCACAGACCCGAAGGACACCUGAAAGAUGGGACACAAACUGAGGGAUGCCAAAGGUUGGCAUGGCACAGAGCCCAGGGGGCCACACUGUCUCCACAGACCUCGGGAUCUACUUCCUGAAUGAGGGAGCAUCUUGGUACAUCAGAGAUCUGACUUCAAUCAGGAAAACCUCCAUUCAAAUCCUGCCUCUAAACAUAUUGACUGUACAAUCCUGGGAAUACCUGUAAAUGACCUGUUUAUUCUCCGCAGUAUGUGAUCCAAGACAAUCUUGGGGGUUUAUGCUGAAAAAUGCCAUCUGCCUGAAGAGAAAGAACUGAUGGGGACUGCAUGUAAACGGAGGCAUUCUACAUCUCAGAAGGUGGGGGACGCUUACUGGAGGUGAGGAGGUAAACUGAAAAGGGCAGUUUCUGUUACAGAGUAAAUGAAAGCUUUGGGAAUAGGAAAUAAAACGUGAUUCUCAGAUUGAAGCUGAUCA